rnacentral:rRNA from 1 species
GACGAACGCUGGCGGCGUGCUUAACACAUGCAAGUCGAACGGAAAGGCCCUUUCGGGGGUACUCGAGUGGCGAACGGGUGAGUAACACGUGGGUGAUCUGCCCUGCACUUUGGGAUAAGCCUGGGAAACUGGGUCUAAUACCGAAUAUUUCCUUUUGGUCGCAUGGCUGGGAGGGGAAAGCUUUUGCGGUGUGGGAUGGGCCCGCGGCCUAUCAGCUUGUUGGUGAGGUUAUGGCUUACCAAGGCGACGACGGGUAGCCGGCCUGAGAGGGUGACCGGCCACACUGGGACUGAGAUACGGCCCAGACUCCUACGGGAGGCAGCAGUGGGGAAUAUUGCACAAUGGGCGCAAGCCUGAUGCAGCGACGCCGCGUGGGGGAUGACGGCCUUCGGGUUGUAAACCUCUUUCAAUAGGGACGAAGCGUAAGUGACGGUACCUAUAGAAGAAGGACCGGCCAACUACGUGCCAGCCGCCGCAGUAAAAC